UACAGGGGGUGCAAACGUUGCUCGGAAUCAUUGGGCGUAAAGCGCACGUAGGCGGUUCGUUAUGUCGGAUGUGAAAGCCCUUGGCUUAACCGAGGAAGUGCAUCCGAAACUGGCGAGCUAGAGUACGAAAGAGGAUCGCGGAAUUCCCGGUGUAGAGGUGAAAUGCGUAGAGAUCCGGAAGAACACCGGUGGCGAAGGCGGCCUGCUGGGCAGUAGCUGACGCUGAGGCGCGACAGCGUGGGGAGCAAACAGG
rnacentral:rRNA from 1 species